AUGACGAGACCGCGACUGACAAGACCACCGCUUACAGCUGCCGCUGAGAAAACAGGGGAGACCGAAGUAUUAAUACUAAUUGCUAAUCAGUUAGGGGGAGUGAUGAGCUCUACAGCAGAGUCUCACAACUCAAUCGCUGGUUGAAAACUGUUCCUGCCCCUCCCAAAAGAUAGAAUUUGUAGAUAAUUGGCCCUCUUUCUGGGACUCACCCACAAACAGGACCAAGCCUGACCUGCUGAGGAGUGACGGACUCCAUCCUAGCUGGAGGGGUGCUCUCAUCUUAUCUACCAACAUAGACAGGGCUCUAACUCCUCUAGCUCCAUAAUGAAAUAGGGUGCAGGCCAGGCAGCAGGCUGUUAGCCAGCCUGCCAGCAUAGUGGAGUCUGCCACUAGCACAGUCAGUGUAGUCAGCUCAGCUAUCACCAUUGAGACCGUGUCUGUGCCUCGACCUAGGUUGGGCAAAACUAAACAUGGCGGUGUUCGCCUUAGCAAUCUCACUAGAAUAAAGACCUCCUCCAUUCCUGUCAAUAUUGAAAGAGAUCAUGAUACCUCACAUCUCAAAAUAGGGCUACUUAAUGUUAGAUCCCUUACUUCAAAGGCAAUUAUAGUCAAUGAACUAAUCACUGAUCAUAAUCUUGAUGUGAUUGGCCUGACUGAAACAUGGCUUAAGCCUGAUGAAUUUACUGUGUUAAAUGAGGCCUCACCUCCUGGCUACACUAGUAACCAUAUCCCCCGUGCAUCCCGCAAAGGCGGAGGUGUUGCUAACAUUUACGAUAGCAAAUUUCAAUUUACAAAAAAAAAAAUGAAGUUUUCGCCUUUUGAGCUUCUAGUCAUAAAAUCUAUGCAGCCUAUUCAAUCACUUUUUAUAGCUACUGUUUACAGGCCUCCUGGGCCAUAUACAGCGUUCCUCAUUGAGUUCCCUGAAUUCCUAUCGGACCUUGUAGUCAUAGCAGACAAUAUUCUAAUCUUUGGUGACUUUAAUAUUCACAUGGAAAAGUCCACAGACCCACUCCAAAAGGCUUUCGGAGCCAUCAUCGACGUGGGUUUUGUGGGUUUUGUCCAACAUGUCUCUGGACCCACUCACUGUCACAGUCAUACUCUGGACCUAGUUUUGUCCCAUGGAGUAAAUGUUGUGGAUCUUAAUGUUUUUCCUCAUAAUCCUGGACUAUCGGACCACCAUUUUAUUACGUUUGCAAUUGCAACAAAUACUCUGCUCAGACCCCAACCAAGGAACAUCAAAAGUCGUGCUAUAAAUUCACA
rnacentral:lncRNA from 13 species